rnacentral:rRNA from 1 species
UACGUAGGGGGCAAGCGUUGUCCGGAAUUAUUGGGCGUAAAGCGCGCGCAGGCGGUGAUUUAAGUCUGAUGUGAAAGCCCUCGGCUCAACCGUGGAGGGUCAUUGGAAACUGGGUCACUUGAGUGCAGGAGAGGGGAGUAGAAUUCCACGUGUAGCGGUGAAAUGCGGAGAUAUGUGGAGGAACACCAGUGGCGAAGGCGAAUCUCUGGCCUGUAACUGACGCUGAAGCGCGAAAGCGUGGGGAGCAAACAGG